rnacentral:lncRNA from 1 species
GUAGUUAGUAUCUAUAGUAUGUUAUACUAUAUAGUAUGUUACUGUUGAAAUGUUAAUUUCCAGGUGCAUGUCAGGAUGUCUGAAGUCUUGGGAAUAAAAGGUGACAACCAUGUUCUGGAAGCAUUUAUGACCAAAAAUGGUGUUGUCUGAAUUUGUCAGUCCCUGUGACUGCUCUUCUGUCAUUCCUACUGUUGCACUGGGGCGAGUGAUCUGGUCUGGGCAGUAUCCCUAAAGGUCCCAUGAAGUUCCCACGAUGUGAGAUUUCUCUGUGAAAGCCUCAGAGCCUGACCCGUCUGAACACGUGCAGAGAUGAGGCCUUUGCUGGCUUGUUCUGGUUUCUUUUCCUGUAGGUGAGGAUGAGGACGAGUCUGAGAAUUUCCUGCU